AAACUGGAGAGUUUGAUCCUGGCUCAGAUUGAACGCUGGCGGUAGGCCUAACACAUGCAAGUCGAACGGCAGCAGACCGUGACAAUCCCUUCGGGGUGCGUUUGGUGCUGGCGAGUGGCGGACGGGUGAGUAACACGUAGGAAUCUGCCAAACAGUGGGGGACAACCCGGAGAAAUCCGGGCUAAUACCGCAUACGCCCUACGGGGGAAAGCGGGGGACCUUCGGGCCUCGCGCUGUUUGAGGAGCCUGCGUCGGAUUAGCUUGUUGGUGAGGUAAAGGCUCACCAAGGCAACGAUCCGUAGCUGGUCUGAGAGG
rnacentral:rRNA from 1 species